rnacentral:sRNA from 1 species
UGUAAUAAAAAUAUUAACAGUAAGCAUUAACUUAACAUUUGACUAACAGAAUACUGUUGAAUAACAUUUAAUGUUAACACCGCCUUUCUAUGCGAUUCUCAUGGGUUGCAGGUUCAAUGAUCUAUCCAUUUUACGAUAAUCGUAUCGAAAGUAGACCUACAAAUUAAGAAGACUAUACCAAAAAUAGGCAGAACAAUCCAAUGCCAAUCAAUCAAAGCCACUAUAAAUCACAUGUUUUUAAGGCCCUGGAAAUAACACCUCAAGAGCUCAAAGAUCUAUCGAUUAUACGAUACCCGUAUCUUGAGCAGAUCUGGAAAAUUAAUAAAAGAAUGCGAAGGAAUUCAUAAAGCCACAAAGCAUCAUCAAUUUUUUAAAUAACAUUAGCGAUGAAAGCUCAAAAAGUUCGCCAAUCUAUCGAUACCCUUCGAUAGCAAAUCUGAAAGAAACCAAGAAAAAACACAUAUUUUUUGUUUUAAUUUUUAUGAGGAGAAUUUUUGUUUGUCUCACUCGAGUUUUUUAUUUCAAUAGUAUUAAAGUAUCGUAUUAUAUAUGUUGCUUUUUGUUUUUUUGUUGUUUUUUAUGUUUUAUAUUCAUAUAUUUAUGCAUUCGGUUUUUACUUCACGUUUCCUUUGCUUGUACGAAAAAUGUCUGUUCUGUGUGUGUUUUUUGGACUCGUUGGGAAGGGGGGGGCUAGGGGCAAGGGUAAGGGAGAGGGAGAGAGUAUGGGGCUAGUAUUUGUGGUUGGGGAGGGUCUGGAAAAGCCACAUUAAUUUAUGUAUGAUUUGUUGUAGUAUGGUAAUCGUAUGUUUAAAUGUUACACAUGCAUUGUUUGUUACGUUAUUCGUAUGGUAAGAGAGUUUUAAUGGCGCUUUAACUGCCGAAUUCUGUUCUUCCUCAGUGGUGCACUUUCAGCAAUGAAUGUUCCUCCGGUUCAGUGUUGGGCAACGCAUACCCCAGGGCUGCACACUGCACUUAACGGUCUACAUAUAAGUUUUUUUUUUGUAUGUUAUGUAUGAUGUAGUAUGAUAGGAUUUUCGAAACAUGAAAAGCAAUGCGCACAAAAAAAAAUAGAAGAGAUGUAUAGAAAAAGAGAUGGAGAGAGAGCGAGCGAAUGUGUGAUUAUGAUCAAGAUCCUAUACCCUAUACAUAGACAU